rnacentral:rRNA from 1 species
UACCGGCGGCCCGAGUGGUGGCCGCUAUUAUUGGGCCUAAAGCGUCCGUAGCCGGCUUGGCAAGUCCCCUGGGAAAUCUGGCGGCUUAACCGUCAGGCGUCCAGAGGAUACUGCCAGGCUUGGGACCGGGAGAGGUGAGAGGUACCUCAGGGGUAGGGGUGAAAUCUUGUGAUCCCUGAGGGACCACCAGUGGCGAAGGCGUCUCACUAGAACGGGUCCGACGGUCAGGGACGAAAGCUGGGGGCACGAACCGG